rnacentral:lncRNA from 1 species
CCCAGGCGUCGGAGAUGCAUCAGGCCAGGCGCUGGAGCAAUCAUCCAUCCCUUUAUUUCACGGCAAAUCAAACAAGGGAGGGCACCGCCCGGCAGCGUGGCACGGCAUGGAGUCAGCGCUGGGGGAAGGAGGGGGGAACACCCGCUUGUGGCUCGGUGCUGUCAGAAGGACCAAGGUGGACGUGGGAUCCACGAGGCACCGCUUGCCAAAAUACACCUUGGGGCUCCUGGGGUGCCCUUCAUCCCAUGCCUGCUGCGGAGUAGCGGAGUCUCAGUGCUGUCUCGCCAGCCACCAGCUGCCAGGCAUGGGCAAAGUCUGAAGCGUGACCUUCAGCCCCCACCUGCUGCCUUUCCCAGUUGGUGGCAGCUGCUACACGAGGUCCCCACGUCAGCACAGCAUGGCAGAGCACCACGGUGCACAGCACCGCUCCCACGGCACCCAGCAUCGUCCCCAAGGAGGGUCUCAUGCUGAGGAUGCACAGGGCGAGGCCGGCCAGGAGCAGGCAGGGAUUGAGGAUGCCCAAGGGACGCACUGGGCAGGAGGGUCACAUCCUAAAGCCCCCAGCACCUGCACUGGGGAACCUCUUUGACAGCGGGUUUGCAUUUGGCACGCACCGUGCCAAGGGUCUCCCAGCUCACCCGACAGAUUUCACUCUGAAAUCCCCUCUGUGCCUUCCUGGAGUGCCAACAUACGUUGGGUGCCCAAGACUGGCACCCACAGACACGCUGCCUCUUUGCACUGGCGUGGCGUGGCACAGCACGGCACGGCACCCCAAAGGGCCAGUCCCCAUCACACAAAGCAAACAGCAUCACCAUGCCUAUGGCAAACUGCACUGGUGCUCAGAAACCUCCACCUGGCUGGCAGCUUUUGGGGUCCCCCAUCCUCAUCACCCCCGGGGACCUGCAGCGGGCCGAAGUGCCCGGAGAAGGAAGGGAGGGAGAGGAAGAAAUACCCAUUUUCUCUCCAUCAACAAAACAAAAGAGGAGGCAAGAAGAAAGGCGUAGAACAACCCUCAUCUGAGCUGUGCUAGAGCU